UACGAGGGGGGCAAGCGUCGUUCGGAAUUAUUGGGCGUAAAGGGCGCGUAGGCGGUGCGGUAAGUCACCUGUGAAACCUCUAGGCUCAACCUAGAGCCUGCAGGCGAAACUGCCGUGCUUGAGGGUGGGAGAGGUGCGUGGAAUUCCUGGUGUAGCGGUGAAAUGCGUAGAUAUCAGGAGGAACACCGGUGGUGUAGACGGCUCUCUGGACCGUAACUGACGCUGAGACACGAAAGCGUGGGUAGCAAACAGG
rnacentral:rRNA from 1 species